GGGGAUGUAGCUCAGUGGUGGAGCAUAUGCUUAGCAAAUGCAAGGCCCUGGGUUCAAUCCCCAGAAACUCUC
rnacentral:tRNA from 1 species